GGAGGAAAAGAGAGUGCCUGUAAGGAGAAUGAACAUUCUAAUGGCAGGGGCGAGAUCGUGCAACGAUACAUGUGGAUGGCUAUUACGAAGAGGGAGCAAAGCUGCAGUGACAAAAGGGGACUUCCAAAGGGGCCAAGUCAUUCUCUCUGGUUUCCUGAGGGAAAAUACCACAUCUGGAAGGAGCAGAGGCAGACAAGACUAUCUCACCUCUCUUGGAGCCUCUCACGCAUGCAAUAUUAAUAAGAUAUAUAUCUACUAGAUUGGUAGAGGUCACACUGAGCCUGUGUUUGCAGAAACAAAACUCAGAAGAUAUUGGAUAAUACCAAAGAUAGAGACUUUUUUUUUCAGUGAUAGAAAGUCAACGCUUCGCUGAAUAUAAAAUCACAGGAAAGCCACAAAAGUCUUGAUUUUUUAAAUUUACAUCACUGAACCG